rnacentral:ncRNA from 1 species
AUAAAGUUUUAAUUUGGUUUAAAAAAUUAGUCUAUAGAUAAAUUAUAUGUGAAUUUUUGUGAUAGGAUUUAAAUAAUGUAAUUUGCAGUAAUUAGUAUUAAAUAUAUAAGAAAUUAUGAUUUAGAAAUUUAUAUUAGUAUUAACAAAAUUUGUGCCAGCAGUUGCGGUUAUACAAAUAAUACAAUUAAUUUUUAUUAGUAAAUAAUAAAUUAUUAAUAUUUAUAAUUAAUAUAUAUUUUUUUAGGUAGAAUUUAAAAAUUUAUAUAAAUUAUUUAAAGUUUUAUGAAUUAUGAAAUUUAUAAAUAAACUAGGAUUAGAUACCCUAUUAUUUUAAAUGUUAAAAAUAUUACUUAAUUAGUAUUAGUUAUGAUCUUUAAAGUUAAAAAUUUUGGCGGUAUUUUAGUCUAUUUAGAGGAACCUGUUUAGUGAUUGAUAAUCCACAAUUUAUUAUACUUAUUUUAAUUAAUUUGUAUAUCGUCGUAAUAAAUAUUUUAUGAGAAUAUAAAAUAUUUAAAGUUUAAUAUUAUAAAAAAAGUCAGAUCAAGGUGCAGUUUAUAGAUAAGGUUUAAUGGGUUACAAUAAAGUUAUUUAUGGAUAAAUAAUUGAAAAUUAUUUAGAAAUUGGAUUUAAUAGUAAUAAAAUUUAAUUUAAUUUUAUGAUUUUAGCUCUAAGAUAUGUACAUAUUGCCCGUCACUUUCAUAUAAAAUGAAAUAAGUCGUAACAAAGUAGAUGUACUGGAAAGUGUAUCUAGUAAGAC